rnacentral:rRNA from 1 species
CACCUGUUCCCAUGUCGAACACAGAAGUUAAGGUUCUUAACGCCGAGAGUAGUUGGUGGGAAACUGCCUGCGAGGGUAGGACGUUGCCGUGC